rnacentral:rRNA from 1 species
GGAGCCGAGAGACAGGUGCUGCAUGGCUGUCGUCAGCUCGUGUCGUGAGAUGUUGGGUUAAGUCCCGUAACGAGCGCAACCCUUGCCCUUAGUUGCCAGCGCGUCAAGGCGGGAACUCUAAGGGGACUGCCGGUGAUAAACCGGAGGAAGGUGGGGGUGACGUCAAGUCAUCAUGGCCCUUAUGGGCUGGGCUACACACGUGCUACAAUGGCCGGUACAGAGGGUUGCCAACCCGCGAGGGGGAGCCAAUCUCAGAAACCCGAUCGUAGUCCGGAUUGCAGGCUACAACUCGCCUGCAUGAAGUCGGAAUCGCUAGUAAUCGCGGAUCAGCAUGUCGCGGUGAAUACGUUCCCGGGUCUU